UACGUAGGGUGCGAGCGUUGUCCGGAAUUAUUGGGCGUAAAGAGCUCGUAGGCGGUGUGUCACGUCGGCCGUGAAAACCUGCAGCUUGACUGUGGGCGUGCGGUCGAUACGGGGCAUCACUGGAGUUCGGCAGGGGGAGACUGGAAUUCCUGGUGUAGCGGUGGAAUGCGCAGAUAUCAGGAGGAACACCGGUGGCGAAGGCGGGUCUCUGGGCCGAUACUGACGCUGAGGAGCGAAAAGCAUGGGGUAGCGAACAGGG
rnacentral:rRNA from 1 species